rnacentral:rRNA from 1 species
AAAUAACGAUACGGGACUCUAUUGAGGCCCCGUAAUCGGAAUGAGUACACUUUAAAUCCUUUAACAAGGAUCCAUUGGAGGGCAAGUCUGGUGCCAGCAGCCGCGGUAAUUCCAGCUCCAAUAGCGUAUAUUAAAGUUGUUGCGGUUAAAAAGCUCGUAGUUGGUUCUGCGUGCCGCGCUGUCGGUUUGCCGCCUGUCGGUGUAACUGGCAUGUCGCGGCAUGUCCUGUCGGUGGUGAACGGGGCCAUUGGCGCGUUGCGUAGGCUUUAAUUGCCGAAACAUGCGCCGUAUGUGUUACCGUUUACCGAUCUCUCCUACUCCGGUGCUCUUAAGUGAGUGUCGAGGUAGGCCGACACGUUCACUUUGAACAAAUUAGAGUGCUUAAAGCAGGCUGAAAUAUCUGCCUGAAUAGUGGUGCAUGGAAUGAUAAAACAGGACCUCAGUUCUAUUUUGUUGGUUUUAGGAAUAUGAGGUAAUGAUCAAUGUGGACUGGCGGGGGCAUUCGUAUUGCGACGUUAGAGGUGAAAUUCUUGGAUCGUCGCAAGACGCACUAGAGCGAAAGCAUUUGCCAAGUAUGUCUUAAUUGAUCAAGAACGAAAGUUAGAGGUUCGAAGGCGAUCAGAUACCGCCCUAGUUCUAACCAUAAACGAUGCCAGCCAGCGAUCCGCCGAUGUUCCUUUAAUGACUCGKCGGGGAGCUUCUACUCGGGAAACCAAAGCUUUUGGGUUCCGGGGGAAGUAUGGUUGCAAAGCUGAAACUUAAAGGAAU